rnacentral:rRNA from 1 species
CCGCCCGGCGAAAUUGUAGUACCGGUGAAGAUGCCGGUUACCCGCGACAAGACGGAAAGACCCCAUGGAGCUUUACUGUAGCCUAAUAUUGGGUUUCGAUGUUGCAUGCACAGGAUAGAUGGGACACAGGGAAACAAGUGCUUUGGCAUUUGUGGAGUGGCCGUUGGGAUACCAUCCUUGCGAUAUUGGAAUUCUAACCUGCGCCUUUGAAUCAAGGCGGGGGACAUUGUUAGGUGGGCAGUUUGACUGGGGCGG